UAGGGAAUCUUCCGCAAUGGGCGAAAGCUUGACGGAGCAACGCCGCGUGAGUGAUGAAGGUCUUCGGAUCGUAAAACUCUGUUAUUAGGGAAGAACAAAUGUGUAAGUAACUAUGCACGUCUUGACGGUACCUAAUCAGAAAGACACGGCUAACUACGUGCCAGCAGCCGCGGUAAUACGUAGGUGGCAAGCGUUAUCCGGAAUUAUUGGGCGUAAAGCGCGCGUAGGCGGUUUUUUAAGUCUGAUGUGAAAGCCCACGGCUCAACCGUGGAGGGUCAUUGGAAACUGGAAAACUGGAGUGCAAAAGAGGAAAGUGGAAUUCCAUGUGUAGCGGUGAAAUGCGCAGGGAUUUGGAGGAACACCAGUGGCGAAGGCGACUUUCUGGUCUGUAACUGACGCUGAUGUGCGAAAGCGUGGGGAUCAAACAGG
rnacentral:rRNA from 1 species